UUGUUACAUGGCUUUUGGAAAUAAAUCAAUGUUUUUAUAUGGAGUUUUGAUAUUUGGAAACUUUCUAUAGACUACCUCAGUCAUUUUUGUUAUGAUGUUGUAUUAAGAUUAAGGGUUAUAACUUAUAACCAAAAUGUCUUAUCAAAGAUCAGUAACUUUCUCUUGGCGCUCAGGCUCCUUCUACCAAUAAAUACAAACCGCCAUGAUCAGUAACUUUCUCUUGGCGCUCAGGCUCCUUCUACCAAUAGAUACAAACUGCAUGCAAUAAUAAUAAGUACAGAAAGUGGCAUUAAACAUCAACAAUCUCUCAAUUUAAAAAAAAACCAAAGUAUAAUGUGUUAUUAUUUUGACUUAAGGGGGCUCCUGGGUAUAAAUCAAAUUUUUUUUCUAAUAUAGGAUUUUGCUUUUUUCAUAAAUCAACUUUAUCAUAUACUUAAAAGAAAAAUGAAAUAAAAAAAUGGGUUCACCGUUUAUUUAAGCUCACAAUCUGCCUCUGGAAGAAGCACACAUUUUUGUUAAUGUCCUUUUUUUCUGUUGAACAAAUAGGAGAAAUAAAGGUAAUAUCGAAAUAUAAAAAUAACCUAAUUACAAAAAUCGCUUAAAUUUUACAAUUAUUUAAUUUAUUUACAGCUAAUUUGAAAACAAUAAUAAAAAAUAUAGGUCACCGAUGAGUUAUAAAAGAUAUUUCAAAUUUAAUGCCAAAAAAUGGCAUUUUUACACCAAAGGGAGAUAAUUUAGCUUUUUCAAUGAUAUAAACAUUUUAAAAGUCAUCUGGGGCCAAACCGAAUCAAUUUUUUGGGUUGAUUUUUGUACCAUAUCAUAAAGUAAUAACUAGUAGUGUUAUGAAUAAAAUUUCUAAUGAAAAAAUAAAGGUUUAAUUUUUUGCUGAAAUUUUUGACACACAUGAGCCACCUUAACUAUAAAACAUUUUUCCAUUAUGAUAAAGAAACCUAUACAGUAUGUAGUUUAUUGAAUCAGAUUUCAUGAAAUAUAUCAGUUGCAUGAAAGCUUUAGCUUGUGCCAUACAAUAAGAUAGAUUUGCACAGAGGGAAUGUGUUAAUUUUCUGUACAAGUGGUUCAUUAUUUUUUAACGGUAAUGGUUCUUUCAUACAAAAGCUUUCACAAUCAAAAUUCACUUUGAUAUGAGAUGUUUUUAGUCUUAAAUUUGAUUAGGCUGUUUGUUGAUAAGAAAGAGGCUGAUUUUAAGAUCAGACAUGGUUUAGUAAUGCUCAUCUAUAUGCUACUAUCUAUACUGACAUUUUUUUUUAGGUAAAAAUGUAUAAUGGUUCUAGACAAACACAUGGCAGAUUUUAAAAAAUUAACACGCUUUUGUUAUACUUUAAAAAAAAAUUGCCAUAUCAAAUAAUACUUUAUGAUUUUUUGAGAGAGAACUUGGGAGAAAGUAAGUGAUGAAUGUUAAAGAGAGUGCAGUGAUUUAAAUGUUGUUAAUUUUUGUUUUAUAUUUAUACUUUCAGACAUUUGUACUUUAUUUAAGCAUGAGUUAUGAUGUAGUUUCAUUUAUGAUCAAGAAAUAUGGCAUAUAUUUAUAAUAUGAUCACACCAAAUAAAAUGAAGUUGAAUUUCAA
rnacentral:lncRNA from 1 species